AUGCAGACGAUGCUAACUAUGGAGACUUUGCUCUCUGGGUCUCCACUGAUGAAGGAGCGACAGACGAGUCAGACGGUUGGGACUGACACCAGGCGUAGGGGGCUCUGGUACAUGGACCAGGAGGUGCAGCCGGACUUGGUGUGUGCUGCGACCAUGGAGGACAAGGAGAAGGAGGCGAUGAUCCAUCACUAUAGGAUGGGCCAUGUAUCUUUUGAUAAGAUGAGUAGAAUCUUUCCGGAUGUUAUGUGUGGGAUAGGCAAGGGCAAGUUGACAUGUGAUGCUUGCGAAUAUGCCAAACACACACGAGCCUCAUAUGUGAGUAAGGGGCUUAGGAGCAUAUCUCCUUUUAUGCUUAUUCAUUCGGAUGUAUGGAAGAGCCCAGUUGUAUCAAUGAAUGGAAUGAAAUACUUUGUUACAUUCAUCGAUUGCUAUUCUCGUAUGACUUGGAUUUAUUUGAUGCGUCACAAAGAUGAGGUGUUUAGCUGUUUUCAGAAUUUCCAUGCCUUGGUGAAGAAUCAGUUUCAGGUGCAGGUGCAGGUGAUCAGGACUGACAAUGGGACAGAGUAUGUGAACAACACAUUUGGGGCUUACUUGUUUGAUCACGGUAUUCUUCAUCAAACUUCAUGCCCAGACACCCCUCCUCAGAAUGGAGUGGCAGAAAGGAAAAAUCGGCAUAUUCUUGAGGUUGCCCGGUCAUUGAUGUUUACGAUGAAUGUGCCCAAAUUCUUGUGGAGUGAAGCAGUUAUGACAGCCACAUACUUGAUCAACAGGACACCAUCAAGAAUACUAAGCAUGAAAUCUCCGUGUGAGCUAGUAUAUGGAGAAACUAAGUUUGUUGUUCCCCCAAAGUUGUUUGGCAGUACUUGUUUUGUUCGAGAUCACCGUCCUUCUGUUGGAAAACUUGAUCCGCGGGCAGUGAAGUGUAUUUUUCUGGGCUAUUCUUCUAGUCAGCAGGGGUAUAAAUGUUGGUGUCCCUCAGAGAAACGCAGGUUUGUCAGUAUGGACGUAACCUUCAGGGAGUCUGAGCCAUUCUAUGGUGAGCCAACAGAUCUAAGUGUGUUGUUUCAAGAGCUUGACCAUUUCCACUCUGUGCAAGAUGGUCAAGAGGGGGAGAAGGCUGUAUCUCACACUCACGCGGAUUCUGUGGGCACUAACAUUGAUGAUGAUGAUGUGCAGGUUCAAGUCCAGCCAAUUGUGGGUACAAUUUCGGUUGGUACUCUCACUGAUGGUGAUGUGCAGGUACGGGUCCAACCAACCGUGGGUUCCAUUCAGAUUGGUAAUCUCCAGCUCCCUGUUCGAGAUCGGUGGCAGAAGAUCCCCCUAGUGUACUCUCGGCGAGAGCCACAAGUGCCACAGGUGCAUGACUCAUCUGACACUCGUCUGGUAUAUUCUCGGCGGCAGCCACUUGUGCAGGAGGGGGAGCAACAAGUGCAGGGGGAGCAGUCAGUGCAGGGGGAGCAGCAAGGCAGUGGUGCAAGCUCAUCUGACACAGUGGAGCUACCUAUUGCGUUGCGAAAGGGGACACGUGAAGCGGCUGAGAAGGCUUUACCACUGGAGUGUUUGGAUGAUCAUGACAUUGGAAAUUUUGUGUCUUAUGAGGCUUUGUCUCCUUCCUAUAGAGUGUUUGUUGCCUCUCUUCAAACUGUGUCAAUCCCAAAGGAUUGGAAGAUUGCAAAGCAAGAUCCGAAGUGGCAUGAAGCAAUGAUAGAAGAGUUGGAAGCACUGAGGAAAAAUAAGACGUGGGUGCUAACCACAUUGCCGGCAGGAAAGAAAGCAGUGAGUUGUAAGUGGAUCUAUACAGUGAAGCAGAAUCCUGAGGGGAAGGUGGAACGGUAUAAGGCCAGAUUGGUCGCCAGAGGAUAUAGUCAAACUUAUGGAAUUGACUAUGACGAGACGUUUGCUCCAGUGGCAAAGAUGAACACAGUAAGGAUAUUGGUUUCCUGUGCUGCAAACUUUGGGUGGAAAUUGCAUCAAUUAGAUGUCAAGAAUGCCUUCUUGCAUGGUGAGUUGCAGGAAGAAGUGUACAUGGAGAUACCACCAGGUUUUGGUACUUCACUGACAACGGGGAAGGUAUGCAGGCUGAAGAAAUCCUUGUAUGGACUGAAGCAAUCGCCGAGGGCUUGGUUUGAUAGGUUCAGGCGUGCUGUCCGUGCUAUGGGGUAUGGUCAAUGUAAUGGUGAUCACACGGUGUUCUACAGACACUCACUCUCUAAUCGAAAGAUCACCAUUCUUGCAGUUUAUGUGGACGACAUUAUCAUCACCGGAGAUGAUGAGGAGGAAAUAAAGAGAUUGAAGGGGUGUCUGAGCAAUGAGUUUGAGGUGAAGGAUUUGGGCAACCUAAAAUACUUCCUUGGGAUUGAAGUGGCCCGGACAGAGAAGGGAAUAUCUUUGUGCCAAAGGAAAUACACCUUGGAUCUCUUGAGUGACAUGGGCAUGAUGGGAUGCCGUGCAGCCCCUACGCUGAUUGAACAAAAUCAUCAAGUGACAGCUCAGUCAGGCGAGCUGGUGAAUAAGGAAGAUUAUCAGAAACUGGUUGGGAGGUUAUUGUACUUGUGUCAUACCAGGCCUGACAUUACGUAUGCCGUGGGUGUGGUGAGCAGAUACAUGCAUGAACCAAGGAGUGGGCAUCUUGAUAUUGUGCACAGAAUUCUGAGAUACUUGAAGGGGACUCCAGGUAAAGGGUUGUGGUUUGCGAAGAGUGGACAUCUUGAAGUGGAUGGCUAUAGUGACUCUGAUUGGGCCAGUUGUCAAGAUGAUAGAAGAUCAACUUCUGGCUACUGUGUGUUUGUGGGAGGAAACUUGGUGUCGUGGAGAAGCAAGAAACAACCUGUUGUGUCUAGAUCAACAGCAGAAGCCGAGUAUAGAGCUUUAUCUCAAGGGUUAUGUGAGAUGCUCUGGGUGAAGUACCUACUGAGCGAGUUGAAACUUCUGAGGAAGGGACCCUUGAAGGUGUGGUGUGACAAUCAGUCAGCUAUAGCUAUUGCUAAUAACCCAGUUCAGCAUGAUAGGACAAAACAUGUGGAAAUUGAUCGCUUCUUCAUUAAGGAGAAACUUGAUGCUGGUAUCAUCAGUCUUACUCACGUCAGCUCUGGGCAGCAGUUUGCAGAUUGCUUGACAAAGGGACUGGGAACGAAGGACUGUAACUUGGCAUGUGACAAGAUGGGGAUGAUAGAUAUCUACCACCCAUCUUGA
rnacentral:rRNA from 1 species